UUUUUAAAUACGAAAUAAUAACUGAAACUCAAUUUUUUUUUCAUCAAACCCAUACAUGUGGGGUAUCUAUGGAUAGGUCUUCAAAAAUGAUAUUGAGGUUUCUAAUAUCAUUUUUUUCUAAACUGAAUAGUUUGCGCGAGAGACACUUCCAAAGU